rnacentral:rRNA from 1 species
GACGAACGCUGGCGGCGUGCUUAACACAUGCAAGUCGAGCGGUAAGGCCCUUUCGGGGGUACACGAGCGGCGAACGGGUGAGUAACACGUGGGUGACCUGCCCUCAGCUCUGGGAUAAGCCUGGGAAACCGGGUCUAAUACUGGAUAUGACUCCAUGACGCAUGUUGUGGGGUGGAAAGCCUUGUGCGGCUGAGGAUGGGCCCGCGGCCUAUCAGCUUGUUGGUGGGGUGAUGGCCUACCAAGGCGACGACGGGUAGCCGGCCUGAGAGGGCGACCGGCCACACUGGGACUGAGACACGGCCCAGACUCCUACGGGAGGCAGCAGUGGGGAAUCUUGCGCAAUGGCCUAACGGCUGACGCAGCAACGCCGCGUGGAGGAUGAAGUCUUUCGGGAUGUAAACUCCU